rnacentral:rRNA from 1 species
GACGAACGCUGGCGGCGUGCUUAACACAUGCAAGUCGAGCGGUAAGGCCCUUUCGGGGGUACACGAGCGGCGAACGGGUGAGUAACACGUGGGUGACCUGCCCUCAGCUCUGGGAUAAGCCUGGGAAACCGGGUCUAAUACUGGAUAUGACUCCAUGACGCAUGUUGUGGGGUGGAAAGCCUUGUGCGGCUGAGGAUGGGCCCGCGGCCUAUCAGCUUGUUGGUGGGGUGAUGGCCUACCAAGGCGACGACGGGUAGCCGGCCUGAGAGGGCGACCGGCCACACUGGGACUGAGACACGGCCCAGACUCCUACGGGAGGCAGCAGUGGGGAAUCUUGCGCAAUGGGACGAAAGCCUGACGCAGCGACGCCGCGUGAGGGA